rnacentral:lncRNA from 1 species
AAAACUGUAAGCGGGAAUCACGUCUGCGUGUGUGAUGCACUGCUACCUUGCCAUACUGUCGGGAAAUUCUAGGGUGCCCGACCUACCCGGCACGGCCAUUCUGGGGUGCCGACCAACCCUAGCCCUCAAACCCUAGCCCUCAACUUGAGGAGGAAACUCCUGUUGAGCCAACUGAUGUGCCUGUACCUCUUAGGCGUUCCACGAGAGUUAGGAAUGCACCUUAGCAUUAUUAUGGAUUUCAUAUUACUGCGGAAGGUGAGACACUUAUUAGUGAUGAGACACUAGUAGGUCUGGAUGAACCUAACAGCUACACGGAAGCCAUGGUAGGCCCUGAGGCUGCUAAAUGGAAAGAGGCCAUGGAUAGCGAGAUACAAUCCAUGUAUGACAAUCAAGUUUGGAACUUGGUUAAGAAUGUACCUGGUCGUAAGACUGUAGGGUGCAAAUGGGUCUUCAAGAAGAAGACCGACAUGGAUGGUAAUGUACACACUUAUAAGGCUAGACUGGUAGCAAAGGGCUUCUCUCAAAUUCCUGGAGUGGACUAUGAUGAGACCUUUUCUCAAGUAGCCAAGAUUAAGUCUAUUCGGGUUCUGUUGGCCAUAGCUGCAUUUCAUGAUUAUGAAAUAUGGCAAAUGGAUGUCAAAACCGCUUUCCUUAAUGGAAGUUGGCUGAGGAUGUUUACAUGGUUCAGCCAGAGGGUUUUGUCAGUACAGAGUACCCUAAUAGAGUGUGUAAACUUGAGAAAUCCAUUUAUGGAUUGAAACAGGCACCUCGCAGGUGGAAUCUUUGCUUUGAUGAGAAAGUCAAGGAAUUUGGCUUUUCAAGGAGUGAAGAUGAAUCUUGUGUCUAUAUCAAGGCUAGUGGGAGCAUAGUCAGUUUUUUGGUACUGUAUGUGGAUGACAUACUACUCAUAGGAAAUGACAUCCCAACCCUGCAGGAAGUUAAGUCCUGGCUUGGGAAGUGUUUCGCUAUGAAGGACCUUGGUGAAGCUGCCUAUAUCCUAGGGAUAAAGAUUUUGAGAAACAGGAGUAAAAGACUAAUUGGACUUAGUCAAAGUACCUACUUGGACAAAGUGUUGAAAAGAUUCAACAUGCAUAACUCCAAGAAAGGAGAGUUACCCAUUCAGUGUAACGCAAGAUUGAGUAAGACACAAAACCCUAGUAUUGAGGCUUAGAUAGCAGAAAUGAGUCGAUUUCAAGAGUCAAGUGGUGAAGGAACUUCAAACCCUAGCCCUCAACUUGAGGAGGAAACUCCUGUUGAGCCAACUGAUGUGCCUGUACCUCUUAGGCGUUCCACGAGAGUUAGGAAUGCACCUGAGCAUUAUUAUGGAUUUCAUAUUACUGCGGAAGGUGAGACACUUAUUAGUGAUGAGACACUAGUAGGUCUGGAUGAACCUAACAGCUACACGGAAGCCAUGGCAGGCCCUGAGGCUGCUAAAUGGAAAGAGGCCAUGGAUAGCGAGAUACAAUCCAUGUAUGACAAUCAAGUUUGGAACUUGGUUGAGAAUGUACCUGGUCGUAAGACUGUAGGGUGCAAAUGGAUCUUCAAGAAGAAGACCGACAUGGAUGGUAAUGUACACACUUAUAAGGC